CGCCUUGCCAGCCCGCUCAGAACUUAAAGGAAUUGACGGGGCCGCACAAGCGGAGGAGCAUGUGGUUUAAUUCGAUGAUACGCGAGGAACCUUACCUGGGCUCGAACGUAAGAUGACUGUAGGUGAAAGCUUACAUCUCUUCGGAGCAUUUUACGAGGUGCUGCAUGGUUGUCGUCAGCUCGUGCCGUGAGGUGUCGGGUUAAGUCCCAUAACGAGCGCAACCCCUACCUUUAGUUGCCAUCAGGUAAUGCUGGGGACUCUAAAGGAACUGCCUACGCAAGUAGUGAGGAAGGCGGGGAUGACGUCAAAUCAGCACGGCCCUUACGUCCAGGGCUACACACGUGCUACAAUGGCCGAUACAGAGGGCAGCUACCUGGUGACAGGAUGCAAAUCUCCAAAGUCGGUCUCAGUUCGGAUCGGAGUCUGCAACCCGACUCCGUGAAGUUGGAUUCGCUAGUAAUCGCGCAUCAGUCAUGGCGCGGUGAAUACGUUCCCGGCCUU
rnacentral:rRNA from 1 species